GAUAGGAUGGUACAGUGGAAAGAACAUUUGGUUUAGAGUGAGAAGACCUGGGUUUAAAUCUCAGUUUUGUCA
rnacentral:tRNA from 1 species